rnacentral:rRNA from 1 species
UACGAAGGCAGCAGUGGGGAAUAUUGCACAAUGGGCGCAAGCCUGAUGCAGCCAUGCCGCGUGUAUGAAAAAGGCCUUCGGGUUGUAAAGUACUUUCAGUCGUGAGGAAGGUGUUAAGGUUAAUAACCUUAGCAAUUGACGUUAGCGACAGAAGAAGCACCGGCUAACUCCGUGCCAGCAGCCGCGGUAAUACGGAGGGUGCGAGCGUUAAUCGGAAUUACUGGGCGUAAAGGGCACGCAGGCGGUUAAUUAAGUUGGAUGUGAAUCCCGGGCUUAACCUGGGAAUGGCAUUCAAGACUGGUUAGCUAGAGUCUUGUAGAGGGGGUAGAAUUCCAUGUGUAGCGGUGAAAUGCGUAGAGAUGUGGAGGAAUACCGGUGGCGAAGGCGGCCCCUGGACAAAGACUGACGCUCAUGUGCGAAAGCGUGGGGAGCAAACAGGGAUUAGAUACC